rnacentral:rRNA from 1 species
GGGAAAAGCUCAAAUUUCGAAUCUGGCGGUCACUUUCGGCCGUCCGAGUUGUAAUCUAGAGAAGCGUCUUCCGUGCAGGAACCGUGUACAAGUCUCCUGGAACGGAGCGUCAUAGAGGGUGACAAUCCCGUCUCUGACACGGACCCGCCCAGCACUUUAUGUGAUGCGCUCUCGACGAGUCGAGUUGUUUGGGAAUGCAGCUCAAAACGGGUGGUAAACUCCAUCUAAAGCUAAAUACGGGCGAGAGACCGAUAGCGAACAAGUACCGUGAGGGAAAGAUGAAAAGAACUUUGGAAAGAGAGUUAAACAGUACGUGAAAUUGCUGAAAGGGAAACGCUUGAUGUCAGUCGUGUCGCCCGGAAAUCAGCCUCGCUUUCGUUGGCAAGGUGCACUUUCCGGUCCGACAGGUCAGCAUCAGUCUCCGUCCGUCGUACAACAGCGAGGGGAACGUGGCACUCUUUCUUGGAGUGUGUUUAUAGCCUCUCGUUCGAAUACGACGGUCGAGACUGAGGAACUCGGCACGGAGCCUCGCGCUCUUGUGCUUUAGGAUGCUGGCAUAAUGGCCUUAAGCGACCCGUCUUGAAACACGGACCAAGGAGUCUAACAUGCCUGCGAGUGUUCGGGUGCUCAAACCCCGAGCGCGCAAUGAAAGUGAAGGUCGAGACCUUCGUCCAUGGAGGGCAUCGACGCCCGGACCAGAGUCUUUGACAACGGAUCCGCGGUAGAGCAUGCAUGUUGGGACCCGAAAGAUGGUGAACUAUGCCUGAAUAGGGUGAAGCCAGAGGAAACUCUGGUGGAGGCUCGUAGCGAUUCUGACGUGCAAAUCGAUCGUCGAAUUUGGGUAUAGGGGGCGAAAGACUA